UUCUAGGGUUCAUACCCCGAUUUUAAUCUUCCUCGAAUUCUCCCCAAUGGAGCCUUGUUCCCAGUGUCCUUGUAUCUAUGGAGAAAAUGGAGACGGAGUUCAAGGUUAUGGUAGAGAAGAAACAGACGAACGUGCUUCCUCUUCAUAUCCGGAUCUUCUAAUUGAGUCUAUCAAUGUGCUGAAAACUGCUCAGGAAGCACUAGAAAAUGAAGUGCUAAAGUUCAAGGAAAUCAGCCAACCUACUUCUGUGAAAUUUAUUAUUUUGGACGCGAAUCCUGAGUUUACGGAUGCUGGAGCCGAAUUUCGUGAAACAAGCUUCGUGCAGUUGCCAAUUAGUGAAGGUAUACCUGAUUCUCCUUGGACAUUACUCUCCAAGUUGAUGGAAAUCGAAAACAGAGAUGAACAACGAGAACUUGAGAAUCUGUUUGUGCAAAGGAUUGAAGCAGAAGUUGAGUAUAUCCUAAUAUAAAAAAUGGUUCAGAACCGUAGGGUUGGAACAUUUGCAGAGCAGUGCGAAAUGUUAUACAAGUCCGGAGAUAAAACCACGACAUUUAAGAAAGAUUCUUGGAAGAGGGUAAAAUGUGAAUUCAUUACUAGUGCUGAUGAAACACUGAAGCUACAGAAGAGGGUGUGUGUGCACACUUCGUAUUUUUCUUUGCAGUUAUUCUUGUUGCUUGUGAUUUUGGGAGUCCUUAUCUUCCAAUUUUCACCAAAUUACAUUGAGUUCAUUCCCGCAUGAUUUUGAGGCGAGCUCACCUUUUUGGGGAGCUCAUUUGCAGAUAAAUGUCAAGUAGCAGUUCUUGAUUUUUUUCGGAUUGUUCAAUAGCUGAUCCGCUGCAUUCAUUUGCAAUGCUAUACAUGCUAUCUUAAAUGAAGGUGAUUCACUGGUGAUGAGAAACCUCAGCUCUUCAAAAAAGAAGUUGGAGCAUAUUAUCAUGUAGUGGUGAUGCCAUGGCCUUAGAGAAUUGAGAUGGAAGGGAAGACAAGUUUGAACCUCAAAUGCCCAUUGAAGCACCAACUUAGAAAGUAAUCUCAAACAUUGUCAACAUAAUUUUUCCUCCAUUGCCUGUGGAGGCUGGGGUAGUGAAAUAAUCAACUUUAACCAUGCAGUCGCUCUAAUUGUUGCAUCA